CCCGGGUGGAGCCCUUUGAACCCUUCUGGGAGGUGUAUUGCAUAAGCAACAAGCAAGUACUUCUAAAUCCAACCUCUUGUGCAGUCAAGGUUAAAAGAAAGAUGGAAAUAUUCAGAAGGAUCACAAGCACCCCUGGAGAGCAGAUGGAGAACUGAGCGCUGACGAGAAGGAGGAAGCAAAGAGGAGCACUGAAAGCAGGAAUGCUUUGCUGCCAGAGAGAAAUUUUGCAAUUGAUGUGAAUCAAGAUGGGCCCCCACCUGCUGACUGCUAAAGCUGCUUCUGCUGAUUGUAACCACAGGAUUACUCAAAGUGUCUCAGAGCUCUGCAUGCAGAUGAAGCAGAGAAUGUGAAUGGGGAGUGCAGAGUAUCCCUAAGGAGUCUUUAAGCAUCAUAGUGAAUCAGGCCUCUGGAUCUGCUGACUGUCCUUUUCCAAGGAAAUGGAUUGGAUCCUAGUUGCCUUCAAACACAGGGUUAUCCAGAAAUCCUGAGGAGGAAUCGGCCCAAACUGAAAGUGGAUUGGGCCCAGAUUUGACCAUCUGAACUACUGAGAGAGGAAGGAGAGGCUACAGCAAGGAGAAAUGAAAGCUGUUGACAUGUGGCAGAUGUGUCAUGUGGAUUGAUUAAAACAGAGCUAAUCCAUGGGGGACAUCUUUAGUGUGGCCUUUGGGAUUUUGCUUUUUUCCUGCUUGCCCGUGCGAUUGUGCCGGGCAGCCUUUGGAGCCUCUGGUGUGAGAGCAGCUGGGGGUGACCUGAGGUUGUCCCUGUUGGAGCAGCUGUUGAGCUGGGAGGGGAGGCUGCUCCUGCCUUUCCAGGGCCAUCCCCCUCACUGUGAAGCCGUGCUGACUCAAAGUGCUUGCAGCUCUGUAGCUGGCCUGGUGUGACAGCUUGAUGUGAUGUUGGAGAGCAAUGACAAACAGCCAGGAGGUGAUGGGAAUAGCUCUUGCCUGUUGUGAAAGGAAAUGCUAAAAGCCAAAGAGCAGCCCUGCCCUGGAGAACUCUCCUGUGAAAAGCAACUCAAUGUCCAUCUCCACUCAGAAGCUGAAGUAAUGUAAUAUUAAAGAAUGUGCUGUAACACAUGCAACACUGGAAAUGCAGCUGUGGCACUGCUGAGUCUGAGCAUGCCAGGACCAGCUGGACACCUCCAUUACCCUGACUCCUGGGUGCCAGAGCCAAGUGAAGCCAGUUUUGCCAUGGUCAGACCUAACACUGCAACAACCUGGGUUUGCCAGCCCAGUAUAUCGUGCUCGGGCUGUUUUUUUUCAGCCAUGUCACCAUCACAUCAAACAACUUCCAGAAAUAGCUCCACCUUGCUUCUGCCAGUAUAAGUCUAUUGUUGACUGCAGCAGGAUUUGGGCUGCCAAGCGAUUGGUGUACGUCAACAUAUUUCUAUGGAAUUAUUUGGCAUCACUUUAGCACUUCAGGUAAGAAAGUGAUUUAGCUGAGAAUGCUGUGGUUAGGGUAGCCUGAAACAUCUGUGUUAAGGAGCAUUCUUCAGAG